GCGGAGGAAAGAACCAACAGGGAUUGCCCUAGUAACGGCGAGUGAAGCGGCAACAGCUCAAAUUUGAAAUCUGGCCUUCGGGUCCGAGUUGUAAUUUGUAGAGGAUGCUUUUGGCGCGGUGCCUUCCGAGUUCCCUGGAACGGGACGCCUUAGAGGGUGAGAGCCCCGUACGGUUGGACAUUAAGCCUUUGUAAAGCUCCUUCGACGAGUCGAGUAGUUUGGGAAUGCUGCUCUAAAUGGGAGGUAAAUUUCUUCUAAAGCUAAAUAUUGGCCAGAGACCGAUAGCGCACAAGUAGAGUGAUCGAAAGAUGAAAAGCACUUUGAAAAGAGGGUUAAAUAGCACGUGAAAUUGUUGAAAGGGAAGCGUUUGCGACCAGACCUUUUCUUGGCGGAUCAUCCGGUGUUAUCACCGGUGCACUUCGCCAAGUCGAGGCCAGCAUCGGUUUCUGUAGGGGGAUAAAAGCCUGGGGAAUGUGGCUCCUUCGGGAGUGUUAUAGCCCUUCGCAUAAUACCCUUACGGGGACCGAGGACCGCGCUUUAUGCAAGGAUGCUGGCGUAAUGGUCGUCAACGACCCGUCU
rnacentral:rRNA from 1 species